rnacentral:lncRNA from 1 species
CGUGUGCCAAAAAUAGGCCGCGGACAAAGCCGCGCCCAAAAAUAACCGCCCGAAGGCCGGGGCGCCAAGUUCGUCCAGCGGAAAAAGGCCACAAAAACGGGUGGGCUAUAGCCUUGGGGGGUGGGGCUGGCCAACUUCGUCCGCCGGACUCGGAAUGCCACGAGACUUUGCGAGGGGCCUCCGUGAGCAGAAAAUAGGCUUCGGGCGAAGCUGCGCCCCAAAGUAACUGCCCGAAGGCCGGGGCGCCAAGUUCGUCCAGCGGAAAAAGGCCACAAAAACGGGUGGGCUAUAGCCUUGGGGGGUGGGGCUGGCCAACUUUGUCCGCCGGGCUCGGAAUGCUGCGAGACUUCUCGAGCGGCCUCCGUGUGCCAAAAAUAGGCCGCGGGCAGAGCCGCGCCAAAACAUAACCGCCCGAAGGCCGGGCCGCCAAGUUCGCCCAGGUGAAAAAGGCCACAAAAACGGGUGUGCUAUAGCCUUGGGGGGUGGGGCUGGCCAACUUCGUCCGCCGGACUCGGAAUGCCGCGAGACUUUUCCAGGGGCCUCCGUGUGCGAAAAAUAGGCCGCGGGCAAAGCCGCGCCCAAAAAUACAUGCCCGAAGGCCGGGGUGCCAAGUUCGUAAAGCGGAAAAAGGCCACAAAAACGGGUGGGCUAUAGCCUUGGGGGGUGGGGCUGGCCAACUUCGUCCGCCGGACUCGGAAUGCCGCGAGUCUUUGCCAGGGGCCUCCGUGUGCCAAAAAUAGGCCGCGGGCAAAGCCGCGCCCAAAAAUACAUGCCCGAAGGCCGGGGUGCCAAGUUCGUCCAGCGGAAAAAGGCCACAAAAACGGGUGGGCUACAGCCUUGGGGGGUGGGGCUGGCCAACUUCGUCCGCCGGACUCGGAAUGCCGCGAGACUUUGCGAGGGGCCUCCGUGUGCCAAAAAUAGGCCGUGGGCAAAGCCGCGCUAAAAAAUAACCGACCGAAGGCCGGGGCGCCAAGUUUGUCCAGCGGAAAAAGGCCACAAAAACGGGUGGGCUAUAGCCUUGGGGGGUGGGGCUGGCCAACUUCGUCCGCCGGACUCGGAAUGCCGCGAGACUUAGCGAGGGGACUCCGUGUGCAGAAAAUAGGACACGGGCGAAGCCGCACACAAAAAUAACUGCCCGAAGGCCGUGGCGCCAAGUUCGUCCAGCGGAAAAAGGCCACAAAAACGGGUGGGCUAUAGCCUUGGGGGGUGGGGCUGGCCAACUUCGUCCGCCGGACUCGGAAUGCCGCGAGAUUUUGCAAGGGGCCUCCGUGUGCCAAAAAAAGGCCGCGGGCAAAGGCGCGCCCAAAAAUAACCGCCCGAACGCCGGGGCGCCAUGUUCGUCCAGCGGAAAAAGGCCACAAAAACGGGUGGGCUACAGCCUUGGGGGGUGGGGCUGGCCAACUUCGUCCGCCGGGCUCGGAAUGCCACGAGACUUUGCGAGCGGCCUCCGUGUGCCAAAAAUAGGCCGCGGGCAAAGCCGCGCCAAAACAUAACCGCCCGAAGGCCGGGCCGCCAAGUUCGCCCAGCUGAAAAAGGCCACAAAAACGGGUGAGCUAUAGCCUUGGGGGGUGGGGCUGGCGGACUUCGUCCGCCGGACUCGGAAUGCCGCGAGACUUUGCGAGGGGC